rnacentral:misc_RNA from 1 species
AGCGCAAGUGUUCGCACACACACACACACACACACACACACAUACGUCAUCCGUCAUCCGUCUCGCACGGGCGCAUCGUGCACGCUCAGCGCACGGCGGAGGCAAACAGAAAAAAUAGACUAGCUCAUUGCCCGUAUACUAGCAACGCUGAAUGCUUGACUGCGUAUCCUUCCUCCCUCGAAAAAAAAAAGCGCAGUCGGCUCGGCCCACUAACGCACAAAAAUACAGCUAAAUUUUUUUCUCUUUGCGUACGCACGUGGCGCCUGCUUCUUCAGCCCUUUCCACAACAGAGUCCUUUAUACAUUAUAUAUAUAUAUAUUAUGUAUAUGUGUUUUUUUUUCUCUUUUUCAUAGCCUGCCUGCUUAACACUUUGUGCCCUUUUUUUUUUGGAUUUCUUUGCACGAAGCAUCUCUCCAUCAGCCUCUUUCCUCCCUCCUUCUCUGUCUUGGGGACGCAUGUGGGCGCCUUUUUUCUUACUUUCCUCCCUCUACUUCCUUGUUUUUCUUUUUUGUUUGUGCCGCCUUCGUGGUUGGCUCCAUUUCUCAUCUCCUUUUCCUUCUCCGAAAGCGUUGGCGACGUAACCGCAAGUUUAUAUAUAAGUAUAUAUAUAUAUAUUGUUAGUACUACUGCGUUUUCCGUGGUCAUUUUCUUGAACCACCCACAGAAGUGGAUAGCAGCGAAAACGAACAAACACGAACGAAAAGGACGACAAAUAAAUAAAAACAGCACCACCAACCACGUACACGUACGAACGCACUCGAAACCGUGAAGCCCUCGUUUCCGUCUGUUUGCUUGUUUUUCUUUUGUUGUUUCUUUGCAUGCUCCUCUCGUCUUUCAUUGUCUGCUUCCUGCGUCUCCUUCCUCCGUCGGCGAAGCUCUCAAGACGCCCUACUUCUUUUUUCUUUCGGUUUCUUACGUUCGUUUUUUUUUAGACUUACCCAGCGACUCGGUUCUUCGUCAUCAUCUGUUCUUUUCUUGUUUCAUCCUCUGUGCUCUUCAACGAUCUUCUUCUUACCCCUCCAUCUCGCUUCUCGGGUUGGAUGUGUGGGUCGAGGGAAAAGGCCCUUCAAGUGAAUUUUAAGAGGUAGUCGUGGAUGCACAUGUGCGCCGUGUUGAAGGCUCACGCAUCAGGCACGCCUAUUUUCACCCUCGCUUGUUCCUUUCCGACCCCUCUCUUCUAGGUGUUGGAUACGCGUGCUUGUUUAAUCCCUUCGCUCACUCCUCUCGUUGCUAUUCUUCGUUGCUCUUCUCCCUUCAAGCUCUUUCUUCGGUUUUGCCAUCAGCAUCAUUAACAUCAUCACAAAAUCUUCUAUCACCACCGCCUGUCGCGGCUCCUGCACGGAUACGGCGAAGAGGCGGGUUGGCGACUUCUUUGCACGCAUCAAGACCGUGGAAGCGGGUCUCCUCCCCUCCAUGGUUUCAGUGCCGUGGCGAGAAAAAGAACCGAUUCGUUUUAGAGUUAAGAGAAAUCAUUUUUAGAAGAAAACGAGAAGAGCAGAGGAGCCGCAUUCAAGAGAGCACUGAAAACGGCUGCAGAGGCAUACAAGUAAACGGUAGCUUGAAAAACAAGUAUCAUUUAACGAAGAGAUACAAAGCCGACAUUCUGCUUUUUUUUCUGUUCCCUCCUCUCUGUAUUGGGUUGUGUCUUCCUCUCCGCAUUACUAUCGACUUAUAUUUCCGACGCGUCUUUCGUUUUCUUGUGGAAUUCCUCGUCGACGUUGCUGAGACAACUCUGCUUCUUUCCUUCCUUCCUCGUCGUGCUUCACUUUGUUGAUCGUUUUUUUUUUUGCUUUCUUGAUCUCGCGCGUGUGUCUGUGUGUGUGUGUUCCCGGAAUUGUCUUUUUGGCCUCAUCCUUUUUUGUGUCGUUGCUCUUUCUGGUGCUCUGGACACGUCGGUCGUUGCGAGCUGUGUGUGUGCGUGUGCAACUUUUUUUUACCCCUCACUCUUUUAUCUCUCGGCUCUACGCUGCUUUUUCCCCGUCUCGUCUCAUUUCUGUUUGUUCGCGCAGUUCCCGAGUGGAAGUGAGGCCGACGAACAUGUAUGCACACAAGUAAGAUCACAUCUACUGCCAUUGUUGCUGUUGCGUGUUUCUAUUAGUACAACCACUGCGCUGUGCGUAAGCUACCCCCUCCCUCCCCCUCCUUGUCUUUGUGCCCCACAUUUGUAUUUUCGCCAUCCUUUUCCGUAUAUAUACUUUUUUUUUUCAGGUUGCAUUUUGCGUUCUCUUUCCUAUUUUUUGUUUCUUCUCGUGUGCUUGGGUAUGUGUGUGUGCGCGCCGCCUGCGUCAUUCUGUGCGUUCGUCUUGCAUCUUCGCAGGUCUCCUCCCUUUGCGCGUUUCAGUGAAUCACAGGACGAAGAAAAAAACGGCAGAGAAGAAGGGCCGCUGUCAUUGUGCUCAUCACAAGAUUCGUCAGAGAAGACGCGCGCAGCACAAAAGCACAGCAGACGCGUUCAGCUUUCUGCACACUAUCGCGCUCUAGGUCUUUUUGUUGCUCAAGUCGUUGUGUGGAAGGAAGGCAGGUGCUGUUUUCGAUCGAGUCUCUGCGGUGUCUCUUGCCACACACACACGCACGCACACGCCCACUUCGUCGUGAAGCGAAAUCGCGUUUUAUUUUGUGCUCGCUUUUUGCCGCGCGUCACUUUGAUUGGCCGCCGCGGAUUUGCCGAGUGCCCACCUGCUGCAAGCAAAGCGCAGUGCCGGUGCCCGUCUUUUGUGUGAGUGUCUUUGCGGCGGACACUCCGCAUCGGCAAGCCUCGCCACACCAGUGCACACGCCAAAGCUAUUUCACACAUCAAGACUACACGCUCUUGUGUCGCAGCAGCAGGACGCAGACAGUAUCGUUUUUUUUUUUCCCCCGCUACCGGCUCCCUAUCCUGCUUCACCUUUUCCGCUGACCAUUUUGUCAUCGCUGCUGUUGCCAUCUCUGCACUCCUCACGCCUUUAUCUUUCUCUUCCGCGCCUCUGUCGUGGCGGUUUUUGCUUUCAAUACGCCUGUAGCUGUUUCUUGAUCCGUGUUUCCGCUUCCUCUUGCCCUGUGCCCAUCUGUUUGUGUGUACGGAGAACUUUUCCCGUCACCAUCAGUCGUGCUGCUGUCUCGCCUUUGUCGCUCACCUUUUUUUUCUACUUUGUUUCACUGUUUCACGCUUCUGGUCUGUUGCCGUGCUUUCGGAGUUCUACGCCGAUCCUCUCUCCUUACGACCCCUUCGAAUCCCCCUGCUGUUUCUAUACACACGACCGCGCUUUUCCACAUCAUUGCCCCGACGGCUUCUGAUCUUCACUUUCCGUUUCCUUUGCAUUGUUGUUGUUGCUUUCCAUCGCCUCCUCUUUUGGUGGUUGUGUGCGCGUCAUUGAUCAGUUCUGCUUUAUCAUUCUUAUUUUUUUUUUUUGCCGUUCGCCACCACGUUACCAGGGUUACUGCUUUCCUUCGCCUCGUCACGGAGGAGCUCGUCGUCGUCGGUGCUCUAGUAGCUUUCCUCUCGUUGUUUGCUUGUCGUUAUUGCCGGCUGCUUCCUCGGCAUUGUUGUCUGCCUCUGCAGGCGUGUCUGUGUGCCGCUUGCAUAAGGUGCCUCUCCCCUGUUCUUUUACCACCCGCAGACAC